AUUGAACGCUGGCGGAAUGCUUUACACAUGCAAGUCGAACGGUAGAGGGGGCAACCCCUCGAGAGUGGCGAACGGGUGAGUAAUAUAUCGGAACGUGCCCAGUCGUGGGGGAUAACGUAGCGAAAGUUACGCUAAUACAGCAUACGAUCUAAGGAUGAAAGCGGGGGAGCGCAAGACCUAGCGCGAUUGGAGCGGGCGAUAUCAGAUUAGGUAGUUGGUGGGGUAAAGGCUCACCAAGCCAACGAUCUGUAGCUGGUCUGAGAGGACGACCAGCCACACUGGAACUGAGACACGGUCCAGACUCCUACGGGAGGCAGCAGUGGGGAAUUUUGGACAAUGGACGCAAGUCUGAUCCAGCCAUUCCGCGUGCAGGAUGAAGGCCCUCGGGUUGUAAACUGCUUUUGUACGGAACGAAAAGGUCUCUCUUAAUACGGGGGGCUCAUGACGGUACCGUAAGAAUAAGCACCGGCUAACUACGUGCCAGCCGCCGCGGUAA
rnacentral:rRNA from 1 species